rnacentral:hammerhead_ribozyme from 1 species
AUCCAGCUGACAAGUCCCAAAUAAGAAGAAACGCGCGUUCUAGAU